rnacentral:rRNA from 1 species
CCUACGGGAGGCAGCAGUAGGGAAUAUUGCUCAAUGGGGGAAACCCUGAAGCAGCAACGCCGCGUGGAGGAUGAAGGUUUUCGGAUUGUAAACUCCUUUUGUUAGAGAAGAUAAUGACGGUAUCUAACGAAUAAGCCCCGGCUAACUCCGUGCCAGCAGCCGCGGUAAUACGGCGGGUGCAAGCGUUACUCGGAAUCACUGGGCGUAAAGCGCGAGUAGGCGGGAUAGCAAGUCAGAUGUGAAAUCCUAUGGCUUAACCAUAGAACUGCAUUUGAAACUGUUAUUCUAGAGUAUGGGAGAGGUAUGUGGAAUUCUUGGUGUAGGGGUAAAAUCCGUAGAGAUCAAGAGGAAUACUCAUUGCGAAGGCGACCUGCUAGAACAUAACUGACGCUGAGGCGCGAAAGCGUGGGGAGCAAACAGGAUUAGAUACCCUGGUAGUC